CGGUGCGGUGAUACUUAAGACGAUGAAUGCACUAGUUCCCUAUGGAUCACUUAAGUUGAGCAACGUUGCGCGUGGUUGGUAUCCGGAUGAGUGACCAUAUAGGGAAUCGCGUACUGCUUUCU
rnacentral:rRNA from 1 species